AGAUUUAUAGAUAAUAGUCUUGUAUAUAAAAAGAACGAGCUAUUAUUCGAAAUAAUUUUUAUGAUGCAGAAGUAAUUACAGGUGUCGUUAAGAAAUAUAUAAAAAGAUGUCAGAUGCACAUGGGAUCAGUCGUUUUUGUUGAGGCCUCAGGAAUCCUAUCUGGUGGAAGAACUUCAGCUUAAUCAUGAAGAUUAUAUUACUAAUUUCAGCAUUACUAAUGUUACUGAUUCAACUAUGUAGCGCGCAAUCUGAUUAUUCGCUGUUUCCGGGUUUAAUGGGUGGAGGCUCUAUGAACAGAGGCCGAUAUUAUAAUGGCAGAGGAAGUCGGGAAAUGUACAAUAAUGGAUAUACAGGAAAUGAUAGAGGACAAGGAAGACCAGAAUUCAACAUAGACAUCUUCUAGUUCUCGAUUCUCUACCAAGAAAGAAACUGAAGAGCGAUCCAAGCAAGAUAUCUUAACAAAUGAUAUGUAUUAUAUAUAUCUUUUCUCUUAAAAUAUGGAUCAAAUAAAUGAUAUGCAAUUUAUUCCUA